rnacentral:rRNA from 1 species
AGUAAUGUCUGGGAAACUGCCUGAUGGAGGGGGAUAACUACUGGAAACGGUAGCUAAUACCGCNUAACGUCGCAAGACCAAAGAGGGGGACCUUCGGGCCUCUUGCCAUCAGAUGUGCCCAGAUGGGAUUAGCUAGUAGGUGGGGUAACGGCUCACCUAGGCGACGAUCCCUAGCUGGUCUGAGAGGAUGACCAGCCACACUGGAACUGAGACACGGUCCAGACUCCUACGGGAGGCAGCAUG